rnacentral:rRNA from 1 species
AAGAUGGCGACCGGCGCACGGGUGAGUAACACGUAUCCAACCUGCCGAUAACUCCGGAAUAGCCUUUCGAAAGAAAGAUUAAUACCGGAUGGCAUACGAAUAUCGCAUGAUAUUUUUUAUUUAAAGAAUUUCGGUUAUCGAUGGGGAUGCGUUCCAUUAGUUUGUUGGCGGGGUAACGGCCCACCAAGACUACGAUGGAUAGGGGUUCUGAGAGGAAGGUCCCCCACAUUGGAACUGAGACACGGUCCAAACUCCUACGGGAGGCAGCAUG